GAGAAGCCCCAGCCCUCAGCUUAAAAAAAAAAAAGGCCCCAGCCCUCCUCUCCCGCGAAUCGUAUCUUACCCCGGCGACUGCUCGCAGCCUCGCAGCCUCGCAGCCACCACAUACGGCGCCCGAUUCCGGCUGAUUCCGGCGACUCCCGGCGGCGCGCAACAAACCCACGACCUCCCCUUGCUCCGCUGCUUACUCCCAUCCGUCCAGCUCCGCGGCGCACGGUCUGUCGCGCUCGCUCGCGACCCUAAGCCGUGUUUCGGGCGGGGCGUCGCCUUCGUCGCCGGCGAGGCUCCGGCGGACUCCGGCGGCUCCUCUCCGUAUCCUCCCUCGCCCCCACGCGCGUCUCCUCUUCCUGGAACGCGCUCCUGCGCCCGGUGGCCAUGGGGCGCAGGGGCGCAUCGGGCUGGGCCUCCUCUGCUUCCGAUUUGGUGCAGCAGCCGCGAGUCUCCAUGGACGAGGAGGACGACCGGGACCCCAAAGGCCACCUUGACCUGGACUACUCCCCACACAACACAAGUUUGGACAGCGUAAACUGUUGCAGCUGCUAAUCAGGAACGAACACGCCGGCACUUUGGUGGUUCAGUUUGCACGUUUUGUUCAGUGGAUAAACAUCCAUUUCUCCAUGGCUGACUGAAAUUAGCUACAUCCAGUGCUCUACUCUUCCAACUUGUUUUGGUCAAUUUCAAGGAUCACAUUUGUAACUUGGCUUGAUUCAGCCAGUUAUGAUGAGCUAACCAAUUGACUUGUACAGUGCAACAGAUCGUCGUUAUAAUUGUACAGUCCAAUUAUGUCCUAACUCUAGCACUAGCAAACGCUUUGCUUCCAUCUGGUGAAGACGACGACCUCGAGACUACCAUGAUUCCCCACACAAGGAGAAGGUCUCUCCCUCUCCCUCUGUUUAUUUUUGACAAUUAGGAUUUGGUAGACAACACUUCAGUUACAUAUAUACUGCAAACAGUCUUUCACUUUACUUUCUGAAGCUUCAUUCUCUGCUUUCCAACAUGAAAUACAUGGACAGAGUUCGAUUAACUUAUAUGAAGACAUUCAAGCACACUGUUUUUUCCUACCGCAAAAUAACAAAGUUGUACUCUUUAUAGCUUGUCCAAAUUCAUGGACGUAGUCUAAGGGUGGCCAUCAUAGCAUACUUAAUUUGCUGGACUAGUAUUUAUAGCUUGUCCAAUAUUCAUGGACAAAUUGUUUCAGAGAAGACUAGUAUCUCUUAAUUUGCUGGACUACUCUUCACCUGUACAUACAUACUUCGGAGGAAUGGAACUGUUUGUUUGUCUUUCCGUGUGUUGGUCUUUUUUCCACAUCAGUGGGGUCUUAGAUAGCUUUUUUAGAAUGCUAAACUUAGGAACGGAAGUACUGAACAAAUCAAUAGAGGUUGGUAACAAGUGUUUGAGAGGAAAUUUUUGUCUGCAGUCUGCACUAACAAAAUCUUGUGGCCCUUUGUUUUGACCUGAUCCAAGGUAAGGCCUAUCAAGGUUAUCUUCCAGGCUGAAAUGACUGAAUUAUGUCUUUUGUAUUCCUAGUCGCCAUACUGAUGGGAGGUAACAAUGGUGGUGAGGCAACAUUCGUUCUAUUUCUGUCGCGCAUGUAUGCACUUCAUCAUUCUCUGUAUCAUUCAUUAAUUUUGCACGUAUAUACAACAAAUACUUCUGAUAAAUUUCCUCUUUAUGGUAAUGAAACCUUUGUGCAUACGACACUCACGUGUCUGAUUUCUGUCCAACAAUUGAUCCAGUGGGUGCUGACAUUUUGUUCUAAGUAAUGGAUGGCUGGAUGUGUACUAUAGGACACUAUUUGGGCAAAGAACAUCGUAUGCGUAGUAACGCUCCUAUGGUAAAGAAAUCUAUGUGGCAGUGACCACAUACUGAACCUUGUAUUGGAUGAUGACACCAUAGGAAUAUAUGUUAUCUUCUUUCUUUGUAUUUGCUUCCCAAGAGGUUUAGUCUAUUGCAAACUUCUUGUUCCUUAUAUUAUCUUUUAAGGCCCUAAAAGCCACAGAGACAAGUGCAGCAAGUCAAAACAAUGAAGGUUAGCAUGUGAGAUGAAACAUAUAAGAAUUCAUGCUACAACUGAAUUAUUAACACCUUCAAUUGUUCUUCUGAUUUAUUUUCAUGAUCCCAGUGUAAUGAAUGGCGAGUACAAGAAGAAGCAUCAUAAUUCCAAUGCUAAGAUGUUCUUCAAGCUUCAAUGAUAAUCCUUUGUGUAUUCUGAUGGUAUCAGGCUAAUUUGUCCUUCUCUUUUUUAAUGAACAACAUUGAUGUGCAGCACCGGGCAUAGACGGCCAUGCGACGACGGUGCUUAGGAAGCAAUGAGCUAGAAAGGAGUGACAUGCCAGGAUAGACUGAGAAACUUGGUUAGCGUUCAGGUGCACCCUGUUGAAGAAUGUUGUGUUUCACAUGUGGUUGCACCAGCGGCAUCUACGCCAGCAACGGUAUGCGCAUCAAGAAGAGCGAGAGCUAUGGGAAACCAAUCAACAGGCGAGUUAGAUUCUCUUCAGUGCUAGGCCACCGUUGCGCUGCGGAGAGGUAGAUCAACACUCAUGUCCUAGAGGGAUCAAGACACAAUUAGGAGAAGACAAGCCUGAAAAUGUUUAGACUUGACCCUCCACUUAUGUAGGCAUGAGUUAAAUACAUGGUCAAACCAUCGCCUUGAGUUUUGCUACAUGGGUGGUCAAAUCAUCGCCUCAGAUUUGCGAUGGCCUGCCUUUUAUAUUGCAAUUUCUUGUGGUGGCUACAACAUUGGAUAACUCAGCAUAUGUGAUAUGUAUGUAACGAGUAGUAUAUCGUAUCCAAGUUUCCAUAAGGGUGAACUCUGUUCUACUUUUGGUAUUUUCGUUUUUCUAUCGAGUUAAGUACUAACUCUUUGAUUCUCGGUAACUAAUUACCCUAUUGGAUUUAAUGUGUGAUAAUCCAUAUAUGUUUGUUACAA